CCCCUUCUUAUUUCUGAAGUACACCAUGAUCUCGGUAUGACAUACAAGAUCGAUUCCAAUGCUUAUAUACAAGGAAAGUGUGUGUGGUUGUAAAAAUAAUUAUUAUCUUUAAUUACCAAUUAUCAUAAUUAAUGUCAAAGACAAAGGUCUGUAAAGUAUUCAACGUUCGCUAGUACACACAGUUUAAGUAUGUUAUCAUAUAUUUCCUAUGCUUAUGUUUCCUCAGGAC
rnacentral:lncRNA from 1 species